GCGAACGGUGAGUAACACGUGGGUGAUCUGCCCUGCACUUCGGGUAAGCCUGGGAAACUGGGUCUAAUACCGGAUAGGACCUUCUGCCGCAUGGUGGGGGGUGGAAAGGUUUUCCGGUGCAGGAUGGGCCCGCGGCCUAUCAGCUUGUUGGUGGGGUAACGGCCCACCAAGGCGACGACGGGUAGCCGGCCUGAGAGGGCGACCGGCCACACUGGGACUGAGACACGGCCCAGACUCCUACGGGAGGCAGCAGUGGGGAAUAUUGCACAAUGGGCGCAAGCCUGAUGCAGCGACGCCGCGUGAGGGAUGACGGCCUUCGGGUUGUAAACCUCUUUCAGUACCGACGAAGCGCAAGUGACGGUAGGUACAGAAGAAGCACCGGCCAACUACGUGCCAGCAGCCGCGGUUA
rnacentral:rRNA from 1 species